CAAAGGGGGUGGGGUGUGAUCCCAACUGAAAACAGUCUUCUUGUUGAAGAUUUUGGUUGUAGCUUUAAAUUUCACCUAUCUACAAGAUAUCUGGCCCUUGUGAGAUACCAGCAUGAGGAGAGACACUGCUUGAACAGGCUGCUGGCAGCUAGAGUGAAGAUCAAGAAAGAACCAUCAGUCUCUACUGGGAACGGAUUUGGACUUCACCUCUGGGAUCUUGGCCAUAUCUGGACUUUGCUUAUGUGGUAAACCUUACAGUCAGUGAAAUCAACUCUGAGAGGGAAGAGCGUCUAGAUCCAUUGGGAUCUUGAAUUCUAUCAUAUCCUACAUGGUGUAAAAGACUUCAAGAUCUUCUGUUACAAGGAUUUUUCUAUCAGAAAAAUUAAGGAAAAUUGUACAUGGAAUAUGCAAAAACAAUUAUGUGUAAAGGUAAAAAGGAAUACAUUAUGUAAACCAGUAUGGACCAGAAGUCUUGAAGACCCAAAAAGGGACACAAUAAAAUGAAAAA